CAGGCAAGUCCGUAUUUGAUGCUGAAAUCCGAAAGUACAAGGAGGCUUCGGCCGAAUUGAGUGAACCUAAUCAGACUUCCGAGAAAAUCCGCUAAGCAUAUUUUGCAGUUGCCCGUACCGCAAACCGACACAGGUAGUCGAGGAGAGAAUCCUAAGGUGCUCGAGAGAUUCAUGGCUAAGGAACUCGGCAAAAUUAACCUGUAACUUCGGGAGAAGGGUUGCCUACUUCAGCAAUGAAGAGGUCGCAGAGAAAUGGCCCAGGCGACUGUUUAACAAAAACACAUGGCUAUGCGAAAUCGCAAGAUGAAGUAUAUGGCCUGACACCUGCCCGGUGCUGGAAGGUUAAGGGGGGAAGUUAGCCGCAAGGCGACGCUUUGAACUGAAGCCCCAGUAAACGGCGGCCGUAACUAUAACGGUCCUAAGGUAGCGAAAUUCCUUGUCGGGUAAGUUCCGACCUGCACGAAUGGUGUAACGAUCUGGGCGCUGUCUCAGCCAUGAGCUCGGUGAAAUUGUAGUAACGGUGAAGAUGCCGUUUACCCGUCACGGGACGGAAAGACCCCAUGAACCUUUACUAUAGCUUCACAUUGGUAUUGGGAAGAUGAUGUGUAGGAUAGGCGGGAGGCAAUGAUCUGGUGGCGCUAGCUAUCAGGGAGUCAACGGUGAAAUACCGCCCUUUAUUUUUCCGAUACCUAACCACUGUAUAGUGGGACAUUGUGUGGUGGGUAGUUUGACUGGGGUGGUCGCCUCCGAAAGCGUAUCGGAGGCUUUCAAAGGUAUGCUCAGUACGCUUGGUAACCGUACGUGGAGUGCAUUAGCAUAAGCAUGCUUGACUGUGAGACAGACAAGUCGAUCAGGCGCGAAAGCGGGAUAAAGUGAUCCGGUGGUUCUGCAUGGAAGGGCCAUCGCUCAAAGGAUAAAAGGUACUCUGGGAUAACAGGCUGAUCUCCCCCAAGAGCUCAUAUCGACGGGGAGGUUUGGCACCUCGAUGUCGGCUCGUCACAUCCUGGGGCUGGAGAAGGUCCCAAGGGUUGGGCGGUUCGCCCAUUAAAGUGGCACGCGAGCUGGGUUCAGAACGUCGUGAGUCAGUUCGGUCCCUAUCUGUGAUGGGCGCAGGAAGUUUGAGAGGCUCUGACCUUAGUACGAGAGGACCGGGUUGGAGCAACCGCUGGUGUACCGGUUGUCAUGUCAGUGGCACUGCCGGGUAGCUAUGUUGCGACGGAAUAAGCGCUGAAAGCAUCUAAGCGCGAAAUCCACCUCGAGAUGAGACUUCCUUAUAAGGGACGUCGUAGACUACGACGUUGAUAGGCUGCAGGUGUAAAGUCAGUAAUGACAAAGCUGAGCAGUACUAAUUACCCGA
rnacentral:rRNA from 1 species